rnacentral:rRNA from 1 species
AUGGCUACAGGACGAACGCUGGCGGCGUGCUUAACACAUGCAAGUCGAACGAGAAUUAAGGAAGGGUAACCCGAGAUAAUUCGAGUGGCGGACGGGUGAGUAACGCGUGAGGAACCUGUCUUAUACAGGGGGAUAACGCACCGAAAGGUGUGCUAAUACCGCAUAAGACCACGAGACCGCAUGGUAUUGAGGUCAAAGGAGCAAUCCGGUAUAAGGUGGACUCGCGUCUGAUUAGAUAGUUGGUGAGGUAACGGCCCACCAAGUCAACGAUCAGUAGCCGACCUGAGAGGGUGAUCGGCCACAUUGGAACUGAGAGACGGUCCAAACUCCUACGGGAGGCAGCAGUGGGGAAUAUUGGGCAAUGGGCGCAAAGCCUGACCCAGCAACGCCGCGUGAGGGAAGAAGGUUUUCGGAUUGUAAACCUCUGUCCUCAAUGAAAAGCAGAAGGUGGUAAUUGAGGAGGAAGCCCCGGCUAACUACGUGCCAGCAGCGGC